CCGAGUUAUCAACUCCCAAACCCCUGUGAACAUACCCAACGUUGCUUCGGCGGGACCGCCCCGGCGCCCUCGGCGUCCCGGAACCAGGCGCCCGCCGGAGGACCCAAACUCUUGUUUAAACCAUAGUGGCAUAUUCUGAGUCUCACAAGAAAAAUGAAUCA
rnacentral:misc_RNA from 1 species